rnacentral:tRNA from 1 species
GGCCUCUUAGCUCAGUUAGCUAGAGAUUUGGCUGUUCUAAAGCCUUCCCCUUGUAGGCGUGGGUUUGAAUCCCACCGAGGCCG